rnacentral:rRNA from 1 species
UCCUACGGGAGGCAGCAGUGGGGAAUUUUCCGCAAUGGGCGAAAGCCUGACGGAGCAACGCCGCGUGAGGGAUGAAGGCCUCUGGGCUGUAAACCUCUUUUAUCAAGGAAGAAGAUCUGACGGUACUUGAUGAAUAAGCCACGGCUAAUUCCGUGCCAGCAGCCGCGGUAAUACGGGAGUGGCAAGCGUUAUCCGGAAUUAUUGGGCGUAAAGCGUCCGCAGGCGGCCCUACAAGUCUGCUGUUAAAAAGUGGAGCUUAACUCCAUCAUGGCAGUGGAAACUGUUGGGCUUGAGUGUGGUAGGGGCAGAGGGAAUUCCCGGUGUAGCGGUGAAAUGCGUAGAUAUCGGGAAGAACACCAGUGGCGAAGGCGCUCUGCUGGGCCAUCACUGACGCUCAUGGACGAAAGCCAGGGGAGCGAAAGGGAUUAGAUACCCCUGUAGUCCUGGCCGUAAACGAUGAACACUAGGUGUCGGGGGAAUCGACCCCUCCGGUGUCGUAGCCAACGCGUUAAGUGUUCCGCCUGGGGAGUACGCACGCAAGUGUGAAACUCAAAUGAAUUGACGG